UACGUAGGGUCUGAGCGUUGUCCGGAAUCAUUGGGCGUAAAGCGCGUGUAGGCGGCUCGAUAAGUCUGCUGUGAAAGUCCAGGGCUCAACCCUGGGAUGCCGGUGGAUACUGUCGAGCUCGAGUCCGGAAGAGGCGAGUGGAAUUCCUGGUGUAGCGGUGAAAUGCGCAGAUAUCAGGAGGAACACCAAUGGCGAAGGCAGCUCGCUGGGACGUGACUGACGCUGAGACGCGAAAGCGUGGGGAGCAAACAGG
rnacentral:rRNA from 1 species